UACGUAGGGUCCGAGCGUUGUCCGGAAUUACUGGGCGUAAAGAGCUCGUAGGCGGUGUGUCACGUCGGCCGUGAAAACCUGCAGCUUAACUGUGGGCGUGCGGUCGAUACGGGCAUCACUGGAGUUCGGCAGGGGAGACUGGAAUUCCUGGUGUAGCGGUGAAAUGCGCAGAUAUCAGGAGGAACACCGGUGGCGAAGGCGGCGAUCUGGGUAGAUACUGACGCUGAGGUGCGAAAGCGUGGGGAGCAAACAGG
rnacentral:rRNA from 1 species